GACGAACGCUGGCGGCGUGCUUAACACAUGCAAGUCGAGCGAUGAAACACCUUCGGGUGCGGAUAGCGGCGAACGGGUGAGGAACACGUGAGGAAUCUGCCUUCCACUCUGGGAUAACUCCGGGAAACCGGGGCUAAUACCGGAUACUUUCGACUGGCGGCAUCGCCGGUUGAAGAAAGUUUUUCGGUGGAAGAUGACCUCGCGGCCUAUCAGCUUGUUGGUGAGGUAAAGGCUCACCACGGCGACGACGGGUAGCCGGCCUGGGAGGGCGACCGGCCACACUGGGACUGAGACACGGCCCAGACUCCUACGGGAGGCAGCAGUGGGGAAUAUUGGGCAAUGGAGGAAACUCUGCCCCAGCGACGCCGCGUGAGGGAUGAAGGCCUUCGGGUUGUAACCCUCUUUCAGCAGGGAAUAAGCGAAAGUGAAGGUACCUGCAGAAGAAGCACCGGCUAACUAUGUGCCAGCCGCCGCCGUAA
rnacentral:rRNA from 1 species